UACGUAGGGUGCGAGCGUUAAUCGGAAUUACUGGGCGUAAAGCGUGCGCAGGCGGUUCAUUGUGUCUGCUGUGAAAUCCCCGGGCUCAACCUGGGAAUGGCAGUGGAAACUGGCGAGCUUGAGUGUGGCAGAGGGGGGUGGAAUUCCGCGUGUAGCAGUGAAAUGCGUAGAGAUGCGGAGGAACACCGAUGGCGAAGGCAACCCCCUGGGCUGACACUGACGCUCAGGCACGAAAGCGUGGGGAGCAAACAGG
rnacentral:rRNA from 1 species